UUCCCAGUGUAGCGGUGAAAUGCGUAGAUAUUGGGAAGAACAUCGGUGGCGAAGGCGUGCUACUGGACCGUAACUGACACUCAGGGACGAAAGCUAGGGGAGCGAAAGGGAUUAGAUACCCCUGUAGUCCUAGCUGUAAACGAUGGAAACUAGGUGUGGCUUGUAUCGACCCGAGCCGUGCCGUAGCUAACGCGUUAAGUUUCCCGCCUGGGGAGUACGCACGCAAGUGUGAAACCCAAAGGAAUUGACGGGGGCCCGCACAAGCGGUGGAGUAUGUGGUUUAAUUCGAUGCAACGCGAAGAACCUUACCAGGGCUUGACAUGUCGCGAAUCUCGGUGAAAGCUGAGAGUGCCUUCGGGAGCGCGAACACAGGUGGUGCAUGGCUGUCGUCAGCUCGUGUCGUGAGAUGUUGGGUUAAGUCCCGCAACGAGCGCAACCCUUAUUUUUAGUUGCCAGCAUUAAGAUGGGCACUCUAGAAAGACUGCCGGUGACAAACCGGAGGAAGGUGAGGACGACGUCAAGUCAGCAUGCCCCUUACGCCCUGGGCUACACACGUACUACAAUGGUUGGGACAAAGGGCAGCGACUCCGCAAGGAAUAGCGAAUCUCAUCAAACCCAGCCUCAGUUCAGAUUGCAGGCUGCAACUCGCCUGCAUGAAGGAGGAAUCGCUAGUAAUCGCAGGUCAGCAUACUGCGGUGAAUUCGUUCCCGGGCCUUGUACACACCGCCCGUCACACCAUGGAAGCUGGUCACGCCCGAAGUAGUUACCCUAACCUUUCGAGGAGGGGGAUUCCUAAGGCAGGGCUAGUGACUGGGGUGAAGUCGUAACAAGGUAGCC
rnacentral:rRNA from 1 species